rnacentral:lncRNA from 1 species
UAUGGAUAGAAUAAGCAGACAGGAAGGAUAUGAAGUCCACGUCAUACCACCACUUUUUUUCUAAUUUCUUUAGCACCAGAAAUUUCAGGAAUUUCCACUUUCCUUUCUCUAUAUAUGAUCAAAGACCUGAUAGAACCCAAGAGGAUUUUGGCAAGUUUCCUUUAAUAUAACCUAAAAAUUCAACAAAGAUUUCAAUUUUGUUCUUGGUGAAGAAGAAGAAGAAGAAGAAGAAGAAGAAAAAGAUAAUGGUGGUAGAGUUCUUUCUUGGGUGCACGGGAGUUGUGAUGCUCCUUCACGGAGCCAAUUUCUUCUUCCAUGCUCUCUCUUCUCAUUUCGCAGCCAUUCGUGCAAUCAGGUACCAUAUCCUCCUCCUCCACUGAGCCGCCACCAACCACCCAAAAAUUAGGGGGAAAAAAAUUAAGAAAAGUUUAUUUGAAGUUGUUGAUAAAUUUGUUUUUCCUAUAUUACUUUCCUUAAUCCAUUUCUUAUUUAUGAGAAUAAUCAAUAUCUUGAAAAACUUAUUUUUCCUUUAAAUAAAUCAUUGAAGACUGUAGUAUAAUUCGAAUUUAAUUAAUUUUGUAAGAACAAAAAGGUGCAGUUGAUCAUUGUGAAAUUAUUGUUUGGGGGUCUUUUCUCUGCUAAAGAAAUAUCAUUGGUUGUGGCCUGGUUGGUCCAUCUUUCUUUCAAUCAUACUACGUUGCAGAAUUAUUUUGACAUAAUGUCUGAUCAACACUCAAAUGGAAGGGGCUCACUUUUUUUGAACUUUUUUAAUCACGUGGAGAUUCCGCGCAAGUGAGAUGAUGUAAAUCAUUAUGUCAAAAAAAUUCGAGUGAAGUAGUAUACUUCUUUUUAUUUUACCUUCCCCUAGCCUACAAUUAGAUGCACAAUCAUGCUUCAAUGAUGUAAUAAUUGACAUAAUUCUUGAUAUAAUCUCUUAUGAGAUCAUAUUAUUGAAUUGUUUAAAACACAGUUGGUUUUUUCAUUCAUUUAUCUAUUAUCACACACACAUUUAUCAACCUCUCUGUCAUUUUUCUUCUGUGAACGUAGAUUUUUUUGUUCCAAACAUCAUAUUAUAUUCAGUCCUCUUUUUUUUAAUUUUAUUUAUAAAUUGCUUAUUUGUUUGGCAACAGUUUCUUGGGAUUUGCGGCCUGGUAGAGACGGAAGAGACGGAAGAUGUUGUCAUGUCAAGUAAUGCUAUUAUGAGUGUUGUUCAUUAUCGUCUAUGACAAUGGCAUAAACGAAUUAGAAUAAAUUUUUAUUUAUUGAAUAAUGUCACAGUGACUCGACUGUAUCAUAGACCGAUAAUGAAACAACAUUUAUAAUAGAAAGCUUGAAUAUCAAUGGCAAGCUAUUUUUAAAUAUUGCAAGGACUAUAAUAAUAUUAACAGAAUAAUUGUAUAUGUUAGCAAGGUGUGAAUCCUUCUACAUUUGAGGGGCUACAAAUACAUUAGUAUAUUCAUGCCUACUUCGUGAAAAAGCAAGUUUAAUUCUCUCUAGGUUUGGGCAAACAUGAAUAAAGUGAUUGUAAUUCAUUCAAUUUACAAAUGUUAAUAUGCAAUAUUGUACUUCCUCCGUCCUAAUUAUAUACGCUGGUUUCAUUUUUUACACAGAUUAAGAAAUUUUCUUUAAUGUCAUUGGAAAAUCAAUUUUUGCCAAGAUCUUUUCUAAUUUAUCCCAAUUUAAUUUUUGUUAUGUAGUAGUAAAUUAUUGCUUAAAUUCGUAAAGGAUUUGAAUGAUUUAAUUUGAGGAGAAUCAUUGGGAACCAUAACUUGAAUUUUUUGAAACAAGUAAAACCAAAACCAGCACUCAGCAACACCAAAAUUCUUACUGAAAAAGUCAAAUUUUCAGCUAGCUACGAAAACCAGAAUUGAAAUUUUUUGAUCAAAACAAAUUUUCAUUCGGCCAAAUUCAUACUGAAACCAUUAAAUAUUCACCAGCUAGCUACUAAAAGUAGAAUUUAAACUUUUUGAACAAAACAAAUUUUCAUUCCGCCAAAUUCAUACUGAAAACAUCAAUUUGGAUUUGAAAAUUUUCACAUUAUAAAUAGAGAUAAAGAGAUAGAAUUAAGCACAAAACAAAACAUGAAUAAUACAUCAAAAACUUUUUCAUUGAUUCGAAUUUGUCGCUAAAAACUAUCCCAAUGUUCCACAGAAUUUUCAACUUGAUUUGAAUCAAUUUCUAGAAGAUGUUGACUCUCUAUGCAUCGACACAGUGGCUAACAAUAUGCAUCAUUCAAACAAGAAAAAAAAAAUUAUCUUGUGAUACAAGAAGAGCAGUUUUUGAGAUGCUAAUCCAUGAACGACAAGACGGAAAGUUAGCAAAAGGAGUCAUUUCGAAAGUUGCCAACUCGUUUUCUAAAUCUACAAUCAGUUUCUAGAAUUUGGCAUGAUGGAAAAUAUUUUAGUACUACAAAUAGUGAUGUACUAGAUUUCUUUCUAGGCUGUUGAAUAGGAGAUGUCGAAAGAGAGUCGAAAUACAAUUCAAACAAAUGAAGGAUAUUCCUUUUCGUCGUCAAAAUCAACCGUACAUAGGAGAGUCAAAGAAGGACAUAUUCGGCCACAUUCAAAUCCAGUGAAACCAUAUUUAUCGGACAAGAACAAGAAAACGCGGUUGGAGUUUUGCCUAUCAAUGGUAGAUGAAAGUACCAUUGCAUCUACAUCUACUUUCGUUAACAUGCUUAAUCAAAUUCAUAUUGAUGAAAAGUGGUUUUAUAUGUACAAGACAUUACAAAAAUAUUAUCUCCAUUCGGAUGGAAACGGAGCCCUUUUGCACAUGUAAAAGUAGAAGGUUUAUUACAAAGAUAAUUUUUGGCUGUCGUUGCUCGUCCACGAGUUGAUGGUACUACAAAUGAAGAAUUCAAUGGCAAAAUUGGAAUAUGGUCGUUUGUGUCUAAGGAACUUGCCAAGUGGAAUAGUAAGAAUCGUGUAGCCAAGACUUUGGAAUCGAAGCCUAUUGUGUCGGUAUCUAAAGACGUGAUCCGAUCAUGUGUGAUUGAAAAUUUGCUGCCUGCAAUCAAACGGAAAUGGCCAUGUUCAAGUUCUAGGACCAUCAUUAUUCAACAAGACAAUGUAAAGCCACAUUUGGAUGUUACGAUAUCAAUUUCGUAGAAGUGAAGAGAAAUGAUGGAUUCGAUAUUCAUUUAUGUUGUCAACCUUCGAACAGCCUCAAUAUGAAUGUCCUAGACCUUGGUCUUUUUAGAGCCAUUGAUUCACUUCAAUAUCAAGAGGCUCCAACUACAAUUGAGGACUUCAUUUAGCCAGUUGAGAAUGCUUUUCAAACAUUUCCUACUGAAGAGUUGAACAAUGUGUUUCUGACAUUGCAAUCAUGCAUGAUUGAGGUGAUGGAAAAUUCAGGGGUAACAAUUAUAGGAUUCCUCAUAUGAACAAACAAAAAUUGAUGAGAAUUGGGCAACUACUGAAUUGCAUUCAGUUCGACUCUGACGUUGUACGAAUGGCCAAGGCAGCUCUUAAUUCAAUCGAGUAAUUUCAAUCGGGUAAUUUUGUAGAUUUGACAUACGAGCUCUGAUUUGGGCCCAUAAUACAUUUCCAAAUAGGGAACGACGAGAUGGAUCAAACCAACUGCUUUGCAGUUGCCUAUGAUGGAUUUUGGCCAUCCGAGGUCGUUAAAGACUCAAAAACAGCACUUUUAUGUUAUGUGUAUUUUUUUUUCCUUUUGCUUUAGUUGCAUCGUUUAGUGCUUUGCCCAUAUCCUAGCAUUUCUAUGAUAUUGAAACAUGUUCAGAACUCACUUUGAGGCUUGGCUUUUGAUUUCUGAACGAUAUCAUUUGGUUGUGUUAGUUGUUUCCCAUGAUUGGCCUGCAUUAUUUUUCUUAUUCUAGACCAUCCAUGUAUAAAAAACGUAGCUAUAAAUUGAACUUACUCAAUACCAGAAAUACAUGUAAGGUAAAAAACAUUUAAAAAAAAACAUGUCGUCC